GCUUUACUCACUCGUUGUCAGUUUUUGAAAGGGCGACCUUUUCACCCUUGUACCUUGAAAACUAGAUAGCGAAACAAAGCGAGAACUUAGAACAUCCUUAAUAUAAAGCGAAGUGUUUCGUUUGAAGUGAGCGACUUUCGCAGAUGAAUGUUCACCUUACGUGUGAUUGAAAACAUUCAGGUGCAGCGAAAGCCCUUCAAAGAAAUACAAAGCAUAGGUUAAGCUGGUAAGAGCACACUGGAAUGCCUCGAUACGUGUGAUUGAAAACAUUCAGGUGCAGCGAAAGCCCUUGUACCUUGAAAACUAGAUAGCGAAACAAAGCGAGAACUUAGAACAUCCUUAGUAUAAAGCGAAGUGUUUCGUUUGAAGUGAGCGACUUUGCAGAUGAAUGUUCACCUUACGUGUGAUUGAAAACAUUCAGGUGCAGCGAAAGCCCUCAAAGAAA
rnacentral:misc_RNA from 1 species